rnacentral:rRNA from 1 species
UACGUAGGGGGCAAGCGUUGUCCGGAUUUAUUGGGCGUAAAGAGCGUGUAGGCGGCUAGGUAGGUCCGUUGUGAAAACUCGAGGCUCAACCUCGAGACGUCGAUGGAAACCAUCUAGCUAGAGUCCGGAAGAGGAGAGUGGAAUUCCUGGUGUAGCGGUGAAAUGCGCAGAUAUCAGGAAGAACACCCGUGGCGAAGGCGGCUCUCUGGUACGCAACUGACGCUGAGACGCGAAAGCGUGGGGAGCAAACAGG